rnacentral:miRNA from 1 species
GUCUGAAUCACUUGGAGAACUUGUUAAAACACAGAUUGCUAGGCUCUACUCCCAGAGUUUCUGACUCAGUUGAUCUUGGAAGAAGGGUGAGAAUUUGCAUCUCUAAAAAGUUCUCAAGUGAUGCUGAU